rnacentral:rRNA from 1 species
CAGCCGCCACGGUAAUACGUAUGUCACAAGCGUUAUCCGGAUUUAUUGGGCGUAAAGCGCGUCUAGGUGGUUAUGUAAGUCUGAUGUGAAAAUGCAGAGCUCAACUCUGUAUUGCGUUGGAAACUGUGUAACUAGAGUACUGGAGAGGUAAGCGGAGCUACAAGUGUAGAGGUGAAAUUCGUAGAUAUUUGUAGGAAUGCCGAUGGGGAAGCCAGCUUACUGGACAGAUACUGACGCUGAAGCGCGAAAGCGUGGGUAGCAAACAGGAUUAGAUACCCCAGUAGUCCCUGUCUCUUAUACA